UACGUAGGCAGCAAGCGUUGUUCGGAGUUACUGGGCGUAAAGGGUGUGUAGGCGGUUCCUUAAGUUUGCUGUGAAAUCUCCCGGCUUAACCGGGAGGGUGCGGUGAAUACUGAGGGACUAGAGUACGGGAGAGGAAAGUGGAAUUCCUGGAUGUAGCGGUGAAAUGACGUAGAUAUCAGGAGGAACACCGGUGGUGUAGACGGCUUUCUGGACCGUAACUGACGCUGAGACACGAAAGCGUGGGUAGCAAACAGG
rnacentral:rRNA from 1 species